AUUGAACGCUGGCGGCAUGCCUUACACAUGCAAGUCGAACGGUAACGCGGGGCAACCUGGCGACGAGUGGCGAACGGGUGAGUAAUGCAUCGGAACGUGCCCAAUAGUGGGGGAUAGCCCGGCGAAAGCCGGAUUAAUACCGCAUACGACCUGAGGGUGAAAGCGGGGGACCGAAAGGCCUCGUGCUAUUGGAGCGGCCGAUGUCAGAUUAGGUAGUUGGUGGGGUAAAGGCCUACCAAGCCGACGAUCUGUAGCUGGUCUGAGAGGACGACCAGCCACACUGGGACUGAGACACGGCCCAGACUCCUACGGGAGGCAGCAGUGGGGAAUUUUGGACAAUGGGCGCAAGCCUGAUCCAGCCAUGCCGCGUGCGGGAAGAAGGCCUUCGGGUUGUAAACCGCUUUUGUCAGGGAAGAAACGCUCUGGGUUAAUACCUCGGGGUAAUGACGGUACCUGAAGAAUAAGCACCGGCUAACUACGUGCCAGCCGCCGCCGUAAUAC
rnacentral:rRNA from 1 species